ensembl:snRNA LOC120096432 U2 spliceosomal RNA
AUCGCUUCUCGGCCUUUUGGCUAAGAUCAAGUGUAGUAACCGGAGUGGGGACAAUAAUAGAACCCAUCCUUAGGUAAUAAGGUUAUUGCCUAGUUCACAAAGCAUUGACUUUUACUUGAACAACCUACCAAGUGAUAAGAGAAUCCGCC